CGCGCCAUUGGUUCACUCACAGCACUGGAGUCCUGACAGCUCAACCGACAGCUACACAGACUGUCACCACAGGGCAUGAGACUGAUGGAUCAACUUUAGUGCUUAUAACCUCUAAUUAAUAAUCACACAAUGAAUGAAACUUCGCCUGUUAUCAGACAACAGACAAUUCUGCCACUGCUUGAUAAAGACAGCACAGCACAUGGAUCUCUACCAGAACAUUCAAGUGACCAACUCAAGAGGUGAGCUGUCAUUUUGUCAUUUUCUUUAAAAUACUGACUUUUAUUGUAAUUUCAGCUAUCCACCCCUGAUGUAUGGUUCAUUUUCUGCUCUGAAAACAGCAUAUGGCUGCCUUAAAUCUAUCAGAUUAUGUGAGCUUUAAGUAGUCCUUUUUAUCUCUCUUUCCUUUUUAUAUCUAUUUUUGCCAUUAAUUUAUACAAUGUGACUGUGUAAUACAAUGUCAUUUCUUUGUGUCAUAGGUUUACAGUUAAAAAUCAGCUACACUAUGACGUCCAGCUGUGUACUUCUCUCCGUUUCUCCACUA